AAAGUCUGUAGAUUAUAGACAAAACACGCAUCUUUCAUCACAAAUUUCUGUUUAUUCCCCCAACGUGCAAGAGUUAAAAUACAAAACAGGUGAAGUUAAAUAACUAAAAUGUAAAAGAAUUUACAAAAAAGAAGUUUUUUUUUUUUUUUUUUUUAAAAAGAUCAGAAGUAGUGGAUAAUGCAGUUUAUUUCUGUGACAGUCUCUCCAGCACUGACACCGUACGUCCCAUCAGUCCAACCAAGGUGUUUGAAUUUUCAUCCAUCCUCUGGAUGUUCUGGAGCAUAGCAGUGGUCAGGUCUUGGUCUCUGGAUGUUCUGGAGCAUGGCAGAGGUCAGGUCUUGGUGUCUCCUCAACUGUUCCUCUGACCUCUCCAGAUACUGCAGCAGAUCCACAGUAGCAUCCUGCUUCCUUUUUCCUGCAUAAAAGCACCCAAAAAGGUAUUAGUUGUUAGUAAUUACUUUCUAUAUUCAUAAAC
ensembl:lncRNA